GAUGAACGCUGGCGGCGUGCCUAAUACAUGCAAGUCGAGCGAACAGACGAGGAGCUUGCUCCUUUGACGUUAGCGGCGGACGGGUGAGUAACACGUGGAUAACCUACUUAUAAGACUGGGAUAACUUCGGAAAACCGGAGCUAAUACCGGAUAACAUGUUGAACCGCAUGGUUCAACAGUGAAAGACGGUCUUGCUGUCACUAAUAGAUGGUUCCGCGCCGCAUUAGCUAGUUGGUAAGGUAACGGCUUACCAAGGCAACGAUGCGUAGCCGACCUGAGAGGGUGAUCGGCCACACUGGAACUGAGACACGGUCAAGACUCCUACGGGAGGCAGCAGUAGGGAAUCUUCCGCAAUGGGCGAAAGCCUGACGGAGCAACGCCGCGUGAGUGAAGAAGGUCUUCGGAUCGUAAAACUCUGUUAUUAGGGAAGAACAAAUGUGUAAGUAACUAUGCACGUCUUGACGGUACCUAAUCAGAAAGCCACGGCUAACUACGUG
rnacentral:rRNA from 1 species